rnacentral:rRNA from 1 species
AUUGAACGCUGGCGGCAUGCCUUACACAUGCAAGUCGAGCGGCAGCGCGGGGGCAACCCUGGCGGCGAGCGGCGAACGGGUGAGUAAUGCAUCGGAACAUGUCCUUUCGUGGGGGAUAACCAGUCGAAAGACUGGCUAAUACCGCAUGAGCUCGAGAGAGGAAAGCAGGGGACCGCAAGGCCUUGCGCGAGAGGAGCGGCCGAUGCCCGAUAGCUAGUUGGUGAGGUAACGGCUCACCAAGGCGACGAUCGGUAGCUGGUUUGAGAGAACGACCAGCCACACUGGGACUGAGACACGGCCCAGACUCCUACGGGAGGCAGCAGUGGGAAUUUUGGACAAUGGGGCAACCCUGAUCCAGCCAUGCCGCGUGUGUGAAGAAGGCC